rnacentral:rRNA from 1 species
UACGUAGGGACCAAGCGUUGUUCGGAUUUACUGGGCGUAAAGGGCGCGUAGGCGGCGCGGUAAGUCACUUGUGAAAUCUCUGAGCUUAACUCAGAACGGCCAAGUGAUACUGCAGUGCUAGAGUGCAGAAAGGGCAAUCGGAAUUCUUGGUGUAGCGGUGAAAUGCGUAGAUAUCAAGAGGAACACCUGAGGCGAAGGCGGGUUGCUAGGCUGACACUGACGCUGAGUGCGCGAAAGCCAGGGGAGCGAACAGG